UACGAAGGGGGCUAGCGUUGUUCGGAUUUACUGGGCGUAAAGCGCACGUAGGCGGCUUUUUAAGUCAGGGGUGAAAUCCUGGAGCUCAACUCCAGAACUGCCUUUGAUACUGAGAAGCUUGAGUCCGGGAGGAGGUGAGUGGAACUGCGAGUGUAGAGGUGAAAUUCGUAGAUAUUCGCAAGAACACCAGUGGCGAAGGCGGCUCACUGGCCCGGUACUGACGCUGAGGUGCGAAAGCGUGGGGAGCAAACAGG
rnacentral:rRNA from 1 species